rfam:Myotis davidii contig209812, whole genome shotgun sequence.
GUGCUCGCUUCAGCAGCACAUAGACUAUAAUUGAAACAACACAGAGAAGAUUAGCAUGGCCCCUGCACAAGGAUGAUAAGCAAAUUCGGGAAACAUUCCAAUUAUUU